rnacentral:rRNA from 1 species
UACAGAGGGUGCGAGCGUUGUCCGGAAUUACUGGGCGUAAAGAGCUCGUAGGCGGUCUGUCGCGUCUGCUGUGAAAACUCGGGGCUUAACCCCGGGCCUGCAGUGGGUACGGGCAGACUAGAGUGCGGUAGGGGAGACUGGAAUUCCCAGUGUAGCGGUGAAAUGCGUAGAGAUCCCGAGGAACUCCUGUGGCGAAGGCGACUUGCUGGGCCUGCUUUGACACUCAGACGCGAAAGCAUGGGGAGCGAACGGG